UACGAAGGGGGGCUAGCGUUGCUCGGAAUCACUGGGCGUAAAGGGUGCGUAGGCGGGUCUUUAAGUCAGGGGUGAAAUCCUGGAGCUCAACUCCAGAACUGCCUUUGAUACUGAAGAUCUUGAGUUCGGGAGAGGUGAGUGGAACUGCGAGUGUAGAGGUGAAAUUCGUAGAUAUUCGCAAGAACGCCAGUGGCGAAGGCGGCUCGCUGGGCC
rnacentral:rRNA from 1 species